UGGGACUAACUGUGCCCUAAUUUUAAAAAAUAGGCAGUAUGUGGUGGUAAGAGGCAAUAAAUUUGCCAAUACAGCCCACUGUCAAAGUUGGUUGCUUUUUGCUGUAAUGGGACACAUUUACCCAAUAGCAUAUUCCCCUCCCCCUUAAGCUUUCAGCUUGUUUUGCUAGUAAUGAGAAUCUCUAUCUGCAACUACAGCAGGAGACUAUUUUUAACACUGUUAACAAGUGAUUAGAAGACAGGGUGGAGUAUCAAACCAGUUUCCAGCCACCCAGGAAAAUUAUCACAUCACAACAGCAGAGGUUGGAACAUGGUCAUCUCACCCAUGAAGGAGUCAGAAGUCUGCCUGCCUGUCUACAAAUAUAAACAAGCAAAAGAGAAUUUCAGACUUUUUGCAUGGCAAGCUGCAAGUGAGCACAGAGCUCUUCAGCAGAGGUGACCAUGAUGGCGUCCCAGAAUCUCAAAAGAGCUCCAGCAUGGACCGAACGGGAGGUACGGGAUCUGAUCGCUGUAUGGGGAGAGGAAUCCAUGCUAUCAGAACUCUUUUGCAGUUUUCAAAAUGCCAAAACAUUUGUCAAAAUCUCCCAGGGCAUGAAGGACAGAGGCCAUAACAGGGACCUGAAGUAGUGCUGCAUGAAACUUAAGGAGCUGAGGCAAGCCUAUCAGAAAACCAGAGAGGCAAACGGCCGCUCUGGGACAGAGCCCAAAACAUGCCGCUUCCAUGAUGGGCUGCAUGCCAUUUUAGGGGGUUCAGCCACCACUACCCCAGCCAUGUUUGACUCCUUCAAUGGAGAGGGAGGCAACACAGAAGCAGGUUUUGGGGACAAGGAAGAUGAUGAUGAUUGCUCACAGCAAGUAAGCAGAGAAACCAGUUUUCCCGACAGCCAGGAACUGUUUCUCACCCUGGACCUGGAGCCAGUACCCCCCGAACCCACCCAAGGCUGCCUCCCAGACCUGCCAGGAGGAGAAGGGACCUCUGCUGCAUGUGUUUCAAGGAUCACAGGAUCUUCUCCUUCCCAGAGGCUAGCGAAGAUUAGAAGGUGAAAAAAGCACACUCGCAAUGAAAUGUUCUCUGAGCUCAUGCUGUCCUCCUGCACUGUCAGAGCACAGACAAAUGCGUGGAGGCAGACAAUGUCAGAGUGCAGGAAAGUGCAAAAUGACCGGGAGGAGAGGUGGCGGGCUGAAGAGAGUAAGUGACGGGCUGAAGACAGGGCUGAAGCUGAAAGGUGGCGGCAGCAUGAUGAGAGGAGGCAGGAUUCAAUGCUGAGGCUGCUGGAGGAUCAAACUAAUAUGCUCCAGCCUAUGGUUGAGCUUCAGGAAAGGCAGCUGGAGCACAGACUGCCCCUACAGCCCCUGUGUAACCAACCGCCCUCCUCCCUAAGUUCCAUAGCCUCCUCACCCAGAUGCCCAAGAACAUGGUGGGGGGGCAUCCAGCCACUCCACACCAGAGGAUUGCCCAAGCAACAGAAGUCUGGCUUUCAAUAAGUUUUAAAGUGCUGUGUGGCCUUGUCCUUCCUUCCUCCACCACCCCUACUGGUGCUUCUGUCCUCCACCACCCCUCCUGGGCUACCUUGGUAGUUAUCCCCCUAUUUGUGUGAUGAAUGAAUAAAGAAUGCAUGAAUGUGAA